UACAGAGGUCCCGAGCGUUGUUCGGAUUCAUUGGGCGUAAAGGGUGCGUAGGCGGCGAAGCAAGUCUGAUGUGAAAUCCCGGGGCUCAACCCCGGAACUGCAUUGGAUACUGCUUUGCUUGAGUACUGGAGAGGGAACUGGAAUUUACGGUGUAGCAGUGAAAUGCGUAGAGAUCGUAAGGAAGGCCAGUGGCGAAGGCGAGUUCCUGGACAGUUACUGACGCUGAGGCACGAAGGCCAGGGGAGCAAACGGG
rnacentral:rRNA from 1 species